rnacentral:rRNA from 1 species
GACGAACGCUGGCGGCGUGCUUAACACAUGCAAGUCGAACGGAAAGGCCCUGCUUUUGUGGGGUGCUCGAGUGGCGAACGGGUGAGUAACACGUGAGUAACCUGCCCUUGACUUUGGGAUAACUUCAGGAAACUGGGGCUAAUACCGGAUAGGAGCUCCUGCUGCAUGGUGGGGGUUGGAAAGUUUCGGCGGUUGGGGAUGGACUCGCGGCUUAUCAGCUUGUUGGUGGGGUAGUGGCUUACCAAGGCUUUGACGGGUAGCCGGCCUGAGGGGGUGACCGGCCACAUUGGGACUGCAGUACGGCCCAGACUCCUACGGGAGGCAGCAGUGGGGAAUAUUGCACAAUGGGCGGAAGCCUGAUGCAGCAACGCCGCGUGCGGGAUAACGGCCUUCGGGUUGUAACCCGCUUUCGCCUGUGACGAAGCGUGAGUGACGGUAAUGGGUAAAGAAGCACCGGCUAACUACGUG